AUACGUAGGGGGCGAGCGUUGUCCGGAAUGAUUGGGCGUAAAGGGCGCGUAGGCGGCCCGGUAAGUCUGGAGUGAAAGUCCUGUUUUUAAGAUGGGAAUUGCUUUGGAUACUGUCGGGCUUGAGUGCAGGAGAGGUAAGUGGAAUUCCCAGUGUAGCGGUGAAAUGCGUAGAGAUUGGGAGGAACACCAGUGGCGAAGGCGACUUACUGGACUGUAACUGACGCUGAGGCGCGAAAGUGUGGGGAGCAAACAGGAUUAUAUACCCUGGUAGUCCACACUGUAAACGAUGAAUGCUAGGUGUAGGGGGUAUCGACCCCUUCUGUGCCGCAGUCAACACAAUAAGCAUUCCGCCUGGGGAGUACGGCCGCAAGGUUGAAACUCAAAUGAAUUGACGGGG
rnacentral:rRNA from 1 species